rnacentral:rRNA from 1 species
CAAAAGAGUGGGAAGAGCUUUGAGUAGAGGUGAUAAACCUACCGAGCACAGUUAUAGCUGGUUGCCUGAGAAAUGAAUAGAAGUUCAGCCCUUUAAGUCUUCCCCCAUCACCCAUGCUUAAGCUAAAAUUGAUUAAGGAAACUAAGGGAGUUAAUCAAAAGGGGUACAGCCCUUCUGAUAAAAGAAACAACUUUAACAGGUGAUUCAAGAUCAUAUUACCCAAGGAUUUCAAAUUAAGUGGGCCUAAAAGCAGCCAUCUUGAUAGAAAGCGUUAAAGCUCAAAUUAGACACUAUCCUCAUAUACUGAUAUUUUAUCUCCCUCCCUGCCCUUUACCAGGCUGUCUUGUGCCCCCACAAGAAUAAUUAUGCUAGAAUGAGUAAUAAGAAGAACUUAGUUCUUCUCCCAGCACAUGUGUAAGUCGGAACGGACCACCCACCGACCAUUAACCGACCCCAAACCCAGAGGGACAUAAGUAAUUUUAAACAAGAAAAACACUUAACUUAAAUCGUUAACCCCACACAGGAGUGCACAAAGGAAAGACUAAAAGGGAAGGAAGGAACUCGGCAAACACAAGCCUCGCCUGUUUACCAAAAACAUCGCCUCUUGCUCACAAAGUAUAAGAGGUCCCGCCUGCCCUGUGACUUUAAGUUUAACGGCCGCGGUAUUUUAACCGUGCGAAGGUAGCGUAAUCACUUGUCUUUUAAAUGAAGACCUGUAUGAAUGGCAUCACGAGGGCUUAGCUGUCUCCCCUCCCCAGUCAAUGAAAUUGACCUCCCCGUGCAGAGGCGGGGAUAUUUACAUAAGACGAGAAGACCCUGUGGAGCUUUAGACCUAAAGUAAGCCAUGUUUAGUAUCCUGAGAUAUCAGUAAAAACUUAAUGGCAAUUAUUGAAGUGUCUUUGGUUGGGGCGACCGCGGGGUAAAACACAACCCCCAUGUGGACCGGGGAUAUUAUCCCUAAUACUCAGAGCCGCUACUCCAAGUAACAGAAAUUCUGACUUUAUGAUCCGGUAUAACCGAUCAACGAACCGAGUUACCCCAGGGAUAACAGCGCAAUCCCCUCUCAGAGCCCAUAUCGACGAGGGGGUUU